GAACGAGAAAGUGGAGCAAUCCAUGAGUACAGUGGCGUACGGGUGAGUAACACGUGACUAACCUACCCUCGAGUGGGGAAUAACUUCGGGAAACCGAGGCUAAUACCGCAUAACACCGCAAGGUCAAAGCAGCAAUGCGUUUGGAGAGGGGGUCGCGGCUGAUUAGUUAGUUGGCGGGGUAACGGCCCACCAAGACCAUGAUCGGUAGCCGGCCUGAGAGGGCGCACGGCCACACUGGAACUGAAACACGGUCCAGACUCCUACGGGAGGCAGCAGUGGGGAAUUUUGCGCAAUGGGGGAAACCCUGACGCAGCAACGCCGCGUGGAGGAUGAAGCCCUUUGGGGCGUAAACUCCUUUCGAUCGGGACGAUUAUGACGGUACCGGAUGAAGAAGCACCGGCUAACUCUGUG
rnacentral:rRNA from 1 species